CAGUAGAUAGGUACCGUCACUCUGGACGUCCCGGUUAUUGUACUCAAAUAGACCACUUAGGUAGUGUAAAAUGACCAACAGUACAGCAAACAGCAUGGCCGCUAUGUCCUCGGCCGCUAGCUCAGACACCAUGUCUGAGGUGUCAGAUUCGGGAACGGGAACAUCUGGAAGGAGCUAUAGUGACAGCCGUGAAGAAAUGCAUCAGCUGGCAAUUACCUUGGGCUUAGAGUCAACAGAAGACUUAGCUAAGGAACGGUUUAAAGUCGACAGGAAAAAGCUCGAGGCCAUGUUACACUGUGAUGGAGAAGACGGGAUUACGGCAGUCAAUUUUUUUCAAAAAGUUAUGACUGAUACUAGAACAUUAAUAUUAUGGCCAACUAGGUUAAAAAUUGGAGCAAAAUCUAAAAAAGACCCACAUGUUCGAAUCGCAGGACUUCCAGAUGAUGUUAAAGCGGCCAAAAUGCAAGUAAUGAGCGUCUUAGAUGAUAGGAGUAAUCGUGUGACAAUGAAGUUGGACCUAAGCUACACUGACCAUUCUCAUAUUAUUGGGCGAGGAGGUCUGACAAUUAAGCAAGUAAUGGAAAAUACUGGAUGUCAUAUUCAUUUUCCGGAUUCAAACCGUACAAGUUUACUGGAAAAAAGUAAUCAAGUUUCUAUUGCUGGAAAUUGUGGUGCCGUCGAACGAGCUAGAGCACGUGUUCGGGAAUUGACUCCAUUGAUAUUUUGUUUUGAUUGGCCAAAUAUUGGAACUGUCCAAAAUUAUCAAGAUCCAUCUAGCCAAUUCCCAUACAUUGGUUCUAUUCAAGAAAAUUAUAAUGUUCAUGUCAUGUUUCGUACUAGACCAAAGCUUCAUUCAACUAUGGUUAUGGUGAAGGGUCACGAAUGGGAUGUAGUAAGGGUUAAGGAAGCAACCAUGCAACUUAUUACUCAUAUGUGUGGUAAUUUAGCAAGUCAAGUUUUAAUACUCAUGGUUAUGGAAAUAUCUCCGCAACAUCAUAAAAUUGUUAUGGGACCAGGCAAUGAAACUCUGAGAGCUAUUACCCGCCGUACUGGUGCUCAAAUAUUGUUUCCAGAUGCUAAAGAUCCUAACAUACCUUCAAUUAAAAAAAGUAGUGUCACAAUCACAGGACAUAUUCAUAAUGUCUACGCGGCUCGUCAAAUGCUUAUUGGCUCAUUACCAUUGCUUCUUAUGUUUGACAUACCGCAAGACGAAAUGGUGCUAACCCAUGAACAAAUCGACAGCGUAAUGCAACGUUUAGACAUACACAUUUCACUUAGACAUAAAGCUAGUCAAAAUAUUUAUACGGUUUCAAUAAAAGGUUUUGAAAGAUCUGUAGGUAACAUUUAUGAAGGACGUAGAUGUUUAUUGGGUGGUACUGGAGAAAGAAUAUCGCCAAAUAUACCGAAUACUUACAAUGUUUCCAAUGAAAAUCCCUCAUUUUUGAUAUCGAAUGGUGAAUUUUAUGGUGGUAAUCGCUAUCCUAAUAGACCUUUUAACAAUUUAGGAGGUCUAAAUAAUUUUACUAAUUUUGCUGGUCCAAUGACAUCCUCGUGUCGUAACAGUGUAGUUAGUUUACCUUUAGUAGGUAGCCACACAAGUAUUCCUCAAAUUAACGUGUUAGGACCAAGAAUCCAACAAUUGGCUAAUGAUUUAAAAAUGGACAAUUUAUCAACCAACAACAAUCACGUAGGAAAGUCAACGUUUAACUACAAUUUGCAAGAUUCAGCUAACUCAUCACCAAAUCAAAGUUUGUUAUCUAACAGUGAAUUAGAUCAAGAAAUGAUCGAAAACCGCGCGCCUGGUUUUCGCAGGCAACCAAUUACUUAUGAUUAUCAACAUUUACGAGUCGAUGCUGCUCGAGUAUCACAAGCGAAACCAAAUCGAUCAGAAAUCAGAGUACCUACGUCAGUGUGGUCAGGUUAUGGUUUCAGUCAAUCUAGUCCAUCUGCCUUGUUAAAAGGACAACGAGAAAAUGAGCAGAAUAUAUGGAGUAAUAACUCUCCAGAAGCAAAUGCUGAAAAUACUAUGGCAGAGUUAAUGCCAAUGGAAAUGAGUAAUCAUUUAGAUUCUACUCCUACGUCGACAGUAUCUAAGAUUACUUCAUCUUCAUUUACUGAUCUGCCAUCUCAUUUAGCAAUGCUUGGAUUAGAUAAGUAUAUAAAUUUGUUUAAAUCUCAUGAAAUUGAUUGGACCACUUUUAAGACGUUGACGGAGAGCGAUUUGCGAGAAAUCGGCGUCACUGCUUUGGGCGCUCGUAGAAAAAUUUUACUGUCUAUUGCUGGUAAUUACUUCAUUAUAAUAUAAUUAGGAUUAAACCAACGUAAAGAUGCAUAUUUGCUUAAGAUCACGGAGAUGGAAUUUAAAACUUAAAUGACCAUUUUGAGAAUUAGAUGAAUUAAACAAAAGAUGUCCGGUUGGUGGUUUAUUUGGUAUCAGCCCAGCUCCAGGAGCAGAAAGAAAGAGUCCCGCAUCAAAUAAUAGCCCAUCAGACGCGUGGUAAAUUAAAUUGUAAACUAACAGCACGUUGAAUAACUUGAAAUAAUUUUUUAAUUUUAAAAAAAUAUACAAAUUAUUAUGAAACUCAUGUAGGGUUUUUAAACAAUUUUUUCAUUAUAGAAAAUAUAUAUAUAUAAGUACUAAAACGUAUUAUAAUAACUAACUUCAGAUUUAUUUAAAACAUAACAAAACUUAUAAUAUUUUAGUAACAAUUACACUUUAUAUAUAAUCUUCGUUCAGCACUAGUAUUAAUAUUAUUAAAUUAUAACCAAACUUUUCUUAUGGCUUUUAUACUCCUACUAAAAUAUAUACAUUUAAAUAUCCUAUUAUUUUUUUAAUUUAUUCCCAAGUGUAUUUAUUUAUAUCGAACUGUGCUUUAUGUUGUUUUAUUUCUAAAAAACCGAAUUAUAUAAUUGAAUAUUUUUUAUACGAUUGUCAAUGUUAUGGUAUAAUAUGUGUUUGUUAUUUUUUUAAUAAUGGUCGAUCGUUGGAAAAGUACGUAGUACGAUAGACAAGAUAUUUAUAACUUAUAACAACUUGUGGAGAAAUUUUUGAUUUAUGAUUUUUUCAAAACCAUUUAUUGUAUCCAUUAUUAUUAUGUUUAAUUGAGUUCUAUAUUAUCUUAUCUUAUUAUUUUGUUAUGUUAUUUACUUGAAGUAUUAUUAUAAUUUUUUUUGAAACUAAAAAUAAAGUAUACCUUAUAUAGGUCUUUAUGUAAUUCAUAAAAAUAAUUUGAUGUUUUUGUAAAUUAUUAUGAAUAUUUACAUAAUAAAUCAACUAAGAAAUUAUAAACGUA